rnacentral:rRNA from 1 species
UACGGAGGGAGCAAGCGUUGUUCGGAUUUACUGGGCGUAAGGGGCGCGUAGGCGGUCGUGACAAGUCACUUGUGAAAUCUCCGGGCUUAACUCGGAACGGUCAAGUGAUACUGUCGGACUAGAGUACAGAAGGGGCAACUGGAAUUCUCGGUGUAGCGGUGAAAUGCGUAGAUAUCGAGAGGAACACCUGCGGCGAAGGCGGGCUACUGGGCCGAUACUGACGGCUGAUGCGGCGAAAGCCAGGGGAGCGAACGGG